rnacentral:rRNA from 1 species
AACGUAGGACGCAAACGUUAUCCGGAAUUACUGGGCGUAAAGGGCGCGCAGGCGGUCGGGUAAGUGAGGCAUGAAAGACCCAGGCUAAACCUGGGGAGGCUGUCUGAGACUGUCCGACUGGAGUGCGAUAGAGGGGUGUAGAAUUCCGCGUGUAGUGGUGAAAUGCGUAGAGAUGCGGAGGAAUACCAGAGGCGAAGGCGGCACCCUGGAUCGUAACUGACGCUGAGGCGCGAAAGCAUGGGUAGCGAACGGG